UACGGAGGGUGCAAGCGUUAUCCGGAUUUACUGGGUUUAAAGGGUGCGUAGGCGGGUUGUUAAGUCAGUGGUGAAAGAUUCGAGCUCAACUCGGAAACUGCCAUUGAUACUGAUGACCUUGAAUACAGUUGAGGUAGGCGGAAUGUGUCAUGUAGCGGUGAAAUGCUUAGAUAUGACACAGAACACCGAUUGCGAAGGCAGCUUGCUAAACUGUGAUUGACGCUGAGGCACGAAAGCGUGGGGAUCAAACAGG
rnacentral:rRNA from 1 species